GAUGAACGCUGGCGGCGUGCUUAACACAUGCAAGUCGAACGAUGAAGCCCAGCUUGCUGGGUGGAUUAGUGGCGAACGGGUGAGUAACACGUGAGUAACCUGCCCUUAACUCUGGGAUAAGCCUGGGAAACUGGGUCUAAUACCGGAGAGGAGCGUCCACCGCAUGGUGGGUGUUGGAAAGAUUUAUCGGUUUUGGAUGGACUCGCGGCCUAUCAGCUUGUUGGUGAGGUAAUGGCUCACCAAGGCGACGACGGGUAGCCGGCCUGGGAGGGUGACCGGCCACACUGGGACUGAGACACGGCCCAGACUCCUACGGGAGGCAGCAGUGGGGAAUAUUGCACAAUGGGCGCAAGCCUGAUGCAGCGACGCCGCGUGAGGGAUGACGGCCUUCGGGUUGUAAACCUCUUUCAGUAGGGAAGAAGCGAAAGUGACGGUACCUGCAGAAGAAGCACCGGCUAACUACGUG
rnacentral:rRNA from 1 species